GUCAUACGAGGUACACUUCUGUAUAAUCUUAGGAUACAUGAAUGGAUAAUAAAUAUUCUUAACAAACUAGAUUUUUUUCAUUAGAAAUUUGUGUGGAUAGGUAGCAUAAACAGUAGAAAGUUGAUUAUUAUAUCUUGGAAGGUUAUUUUCUCACCUUUGUCUAAAGUGGAUCUUGGUCUGAGAGAUAUGAAGACAAUAAAUAAACUGAUUUUUUUUAUCUCUUUAUUGGAAGUUGUUGACUAUCAAUAGUCAAUGGUCUUCUAUGCUUAUUA
rnacentral:lncRNA from 1 species